CUCCUUAUUAUAUAAAACUAAAAUAAACAGUGUAAUAAAAUCAAAAACCUCUAGAACCUAUUUAAAGACACUGCAAACUUGCCCAAUCAAAAAAAAUCUGUUCCCGUCUUUUCAGAUCAUUAUUCAUUUCUUCAAUGUGACGUUUCCAAGAUUUCAAUGAGGCUGUUUCAUCAAACCUUUGGGUUUCCCCUUUUGUAGCCUCUUUGUUCUGUACCCUUCAUUUCAUCUUCUCUUUAGUUCUCCCUUCUUUUCUUCUUCUUUCAAGAUCUCAGCAUACUCCGGAACUCUUCCGACCAAGUAAAUCUCUUCCUUCUUUUUUAAUGCCUCCCUUGCUAAUGUAUGUGCUAGACUGUUUGUUUCUCUUGGUAUGUACUCAAAAUAGUAUCUUUUUGAUUUUACCAGUAACUGAUGAAUAUCUCGGAUAUAUGCUCCGAUCCUUGAUUUAUCAUGGCUUUUUUGUUUGCAUUUCUUUAUGAUUGAUAGUGCAUCUCCUUCAAUAAUAAUGUUUGGCCAUUGCAUGUCCAUACCGAUUUGAGUUGCUAUCCGACAAGCUAUUGUUUUGGCGGCAAAAGCUGAUGUUACUUGAUGAUGAAUCUCUGUAAUUGAUAAGAGAGCAGUUCCUUCACUGUCCCUGGCCACAAUUCCUACUGCCGAUUAUCGUACAUUCUCAUCAUAGGCUGCGUCAAAGUUAACCUUCACAAACUGGCCAGAUUGCCCAAAGAGCACAACAAAAGGCCCUACGACGAGUGGGAGUAUUCUGUUCAAAACCCAGGUGAACCACUGUAUAAAUUCCAUAUGGGGUACUUGUAGUAACCCCGAGAAUGAUAACUCUUCCCAUACUGUCGUUGCCACAGGACACUCGCGGAAUAUGUGAUUUGUGGUUUCUGCCGCUCUGUCGCACCCAAAACAUGUUGUAUGACUUAAAAGCCUUCUGUAAUGCAAAUUAACCCACGUUGGUAAAUAAUUCCAUGAUAUUCGCCAGACUGUAAUUUUUAGCUUAGAAGGUAGAUUUAGGAGCUAGAGAUUUUUGUAAAACUUCCUAGUUUCAUUUUGUAACGCAUAAGCUCUAAGGUCAAUUUCAAUAUCCUGUAAUAGUUUAUAGACACUUCUCACCGUAAACUCUCCCGAGGACUCUCCCCUCUAGGCCAGAAAAUCAUCAUGAGGCUCUUUAGCUAGCGGGAUUUUCUCAGAUAUCUCCAUUGGAAAGGUAGAUUCGAUCAAGUCUUUUUUCCAUUUUCUAUUGCUAUCGUCAAUUAACUCUACAA